CCUACGGGUGGCUGCAGUGGGGAAUAUUGGGCAAUGGAGGCAACUCUGACCCAGCAACGCCGCGUGAAUGAUGAAGGUCUUCGGAUUGUAAAGUUCUUUGAUGGGGGAUGAACACAGUGACGGUACUCCCAUAGCAAGCCACGGCUAACUACGGGCCAGCAGCCGCGGUAAUACGUAGGGGGCAAGCGUUAUCCGGAUUUACUGGGUGUAAAGGGAGCGUAGACGGUGUGGCAAGUCGGAAGUGAAAGCCCCGGGCUCAACCCCGGCACUGCUUGGGAAACUGCCGGACUGGAGUGCUGGAGAGGCAAGCGGAAUUCGUAGUGUAGCGGUGAAAUGCGUAGAUAUUAGGAAGAACACCAGUGGCGAAGGCGGCUUGCUGGACAGUAACUGACGUUGAGGCUCGAAAGCGUGGGGAGCAAACAGGAUUAGAUACCCUGGUAGUC
rnacentral:rRNA from 1 species